UGGAGCAUUUGUCACUAGCUCUUUUGAGGGCAGCCCCUGCUGAGAAUGAGGGUGGGCAAGGAAUAGCUGUUUUAGUAUUUGUUCAUGCAAACUGCCUUGCUAAAAAUAAAGGCCUCUUCUCUCCCCCUCCCUGCCCCAAAUGUUCAGAAAAUGUGAUUUUAAGGACCUACUGCGUGAAAAAUUAAAGGAGACAUAUCCUCACCUCAAGAGGCUGACUAGUAGGGAGGGCAUAGAAAGGUUGAGUAAUAAUAGAAGGCAGUAGUAAGAGAAAGCCGUUGAGGUGCAAGGUGAUUUUUAGUAAUGCCGGUGUUUGGCAGUGACUGAGUGCCUCAUUUAGCCUCGUGUAGGCAAUUGAUAGAGACAAGUUCUGAAUUUAAGGAAAGAGAUCACUGGCUGCAUGGUCAGCGAAGACUUCUGGGGAAGCAGGGUCCUGGGAGAUGGGUGGAAGAGAGCUAGCGGGUGGUCAGUAUGAAAUGCCCCUUCGGGGCACAAUGAACAGACCAAGUUUGUGCUGUGCUUUGAGUUUUCAAAUAAAGGAUGAAUGUGGGAAACCAAGUUUCUGUCUUAACAAGAUAAACCAUAGAUUGGUUUUUAGUUCUCGUUGUGAGAAGCUUCUGAAACCUUUUUAGGUCUUGACUCUAGGCCUCUUUAGGAAGGUAUGGCGGCCCUAGUGGGUGAAACCCAGGCUGGCACAGUGUAGCAUAUGCCUUCCUGUGUUGGGCCCCAGAAGCUGUUAGGAGGACUUUCAGAAGUCCUUGCUGGCAACCGAGGUUAUCCCGUUGUUUCAGAGGAUAGCAUGGUAAGAAGCUACUGGCUUUCAAAGGGAACCACUGGAUCUAGCUGGGAUGGAGCCAUGACAGCAUUUGCUUUGAGUCUAUGGUGUGAGGACUGCACACACAGCCAUCAGAGCAGAGAAGAGGUUGGAAGCUGAGAGAGGUGUAACACAGAAGAGGGAGAUGCAGAGAUCAGACCCCAUCCCUUUGCAUAAGCUUCCUCUCUUCCUGCAUCUGCAGAAAACUUGCAGAAUGAGGGCAGGCAGCGUCCCAUCAGAGGACCUCUAUAGUUGGACUAAUCAGUCACUCCACUUGAAGUGUCUUUCCUUUAUAGGUGCCUCUAAGGAAGAUUUACAAAGUCAUCAGAUUGCUGCAGAUGUUCAGUAUUUUUCAGUGUCUUUGGUGUUAUUGCCCGGCGUUUUAACACUCCUUCCGGUAGUGCUGGACUGCAGGACAGCAGCUUAUCCAUCAAUAAGGAUCCCAUCCUCUCUCAAAAACAAAUCGAUUGAUCAUGUCAAAAGAUCUCAGCGGCUGGUCGUAGGGUAAAAUGUGCCCUCCACCUCGAACAAUUACCUUGGAGAAGAAAAGUAAAAGAGAGAGACAGAGCGUGAGCAGGGGAGGAGCAGAGAGACAGGGAGACACAGAAUCGGAAGGAGGCUCCAGGCUCCGAGCCGUCAGCCCAGAGCCCGCCGCGGGGCUCGAACUCACAGACCGCGAGAUCGUGACCUGAGCUGAGGUCGGACGCCCAACCGACGGAGCCACCCAGGCACCCCGAUGUACAACACAUUCUUAAACACCUAUAGUUAAGGUGAAUUCAGACCCUAGUGCUAGGUGCCAUACUAAUUUAAGAAAGGGGUGGGGGUACUGGUCUUUGUACUCAGAAAGACUGUAGGCUCAGCAGCAAGUGCCCCAAGUAGAGGACCAGGAGAGGCCUUCAUGAUUCAGUACCAAAAGGGAAAGAACUGACAGUGGGUGUUGGUGGGCCUCCUGCAUGGGGGAGUCAUUGUAGCCUGAGAUAUUCUAUGGCACAUGUGGCAACCGGACAGCGGUCAGUAGUGGAUGGAGUGAGGGAUCACAUUCAGCGCGUUCUAGCUGCUAAGUCACAAUCGGCAAGUAAGGACCACUUUGACGAGGCCCUUCGUAGCGUGUUUUACCUGUCUCAAUAAGAAGGGAACGGAGGCAGAAAAAGAGUACAAAUAUAUUUACGUAGUGCAUUUAUUAUAUUACAAAUCCACCCCCAGCCCCCAGCAUCUUACAGCCUUGCCAUGCGGCCAGUGGGGUCAACAUCAGUAGAUGAGUUUUGCUUUGCAGCUCACAGCUAGCCAAGGUGUGCAGAGAGAUGGUAGAGAUCACCAUUGACACCAGCCUCGGUGACGGAGUGAUACGGAGCUCUUCGGAGGCGUGCCCAAGUCACACAAUCGUAACUGAGAGAAUAAGCUAGAACCUGGCUUCUGAUGCAGACACCAGCGUUUUUAUUCAAGUCGCAGUAUUUGUACAAUCAUUCUUCACAUUUGAGCCAAGCUUUACAGCUUAGUCACAGAACAUUUCACCCAUCUCUCAACAGCCCUCUGAGGCAGGUAAGGGAAGCAGACCGCCAUUACAGAUGUGAGCUAGGACUUAACCCUCACAUGCGUUUGGAAACACCUGCCUCAUGCAACACUCCAUCAGUGGCCGUUUGUCCCUUGCUGCAACGACAAUGGAGCCCAUCUACCAUUUGUGUUCAAGCUUGCAUCUGGAAACCCAACAUGUCUUGCUUCGUCACAGACUGAAAGUAAACAUAUGUGUGACAUGAGUCCCUGUAGGUGACUCUGGAGGAAAACUUUUGCUGCCCCCACAAUCCCAGGCUAGAAUUCUCUCCUGUAGAUUCCCACCCAAACCUCCAGCCUUGGCAGAAAUCUGAUGAGUGAUUUUGUGCAACUUCAGCUCAGCUGAGGACACUUAAGAAAGUCAUGCUUGUGACAAAACCCAGCUGCUGCUUCGACUGGAAAUGAAUUUGGCAGCAAUGGUCCGGAACGGUGGUAUGCUGAAUCCAAGAGCGAAAAGGUCAGUCUGCCUCCAGGACCAGAGCUGCAGCUAAUGGGGGGGAGCCUUUACGGCGUGGCUUGGAGUCAGUGUGCAGGAGCAAGACUUGAGGCACAGCAAGCUGUGUGACACUGGACAAGUAAUUUACCUGCUCUGAGCCUCAGUUUCCUUAACUGUACAAGAGAGAAGAAAGUAUUACCUCUUGGGAUAGUUGGGAAUUACGUGAGAAAUUAAUGGAGUAAUGUUCAUGGAACGCUUAGCACCGUGUCUGGACUGGGAUGGAACUCAAUAAAUAUUAGCCAUUGUCAUUA